rnacentral:rRNA from 1 species
UACGUAGGUGACAAGCGUUGUCCGGAUUUACUGGGCGUAAAGAGCUCGCAGGCGGUCGAUCAAGUCGAGUGUGAAAGCCCCCGGCUCAACUGGGGAGGGUCAUUCGAUACUGAUCGACUCGAAGGCAGGAGAGGGUAGUGGAAUUCCCGGUGUAGUGGUGAAAUGCGCAGAUAUCGGGAGGAACACCAGUAGCGAAGGCGACACUCUGGGCCGGUACUGACGCUGAGGAGCGAAAGCGUGGGGAGCAAACAGG